AAGGUCUCAAUUCAGACAGGAACACCCGCUGAACUUAA
rnacentral:rRNA from 1 species